rnacentral:rRNA from 1 species
UACGGAGGGAGCUAGCGUUAUUCGGAAUUACUGGGCGUAAAGCGCACGUAGGCGGCUUUGUAAGUCAGAGGUGAAAGCCUGGAGCUCAACUCCAGAACUGCCUUUGAGACUGCAUCGCUUGAAUCCAGGAGAGGUGAGUGGAAUUCCGAGUGUAGAGGUGAAAUUCGUAGAUAUUCGGAAGAACACCAGUGGCGAAGGCGGGCUCACUGGACUGGUAUUGACGCUGAGGUGCGAAAAGCGUGGGGAGCAAACAGG